UGCAACCACUGAGUUUGGAAAUGAUGAUAAAGAAGUUAAACUAAGAAUUAAAAGCAAUAUUAAAUCCAUCUUGGUGUCAGACAGAUGUGAUAAUCCUAUGGAGAUGAAGGUUCAUUGAUUUCAACGGCAACAACGGAUCACCUUUAUCUUAAUUUGAUUAACUGAACAACAAAAGGAUAUUGAUGGUCGUUUUUGUUUCUCAUUGCUCGAUAACAGUCAGCUCAACAUUUGGAUAAAGAUGAUUAUCAUUGCAACGAUCACUAUCAUUAUCCGUUUCAUGGUGGGAAAAAUAUUGUGUCCGGAUUAUUGUAAUUUGCUUGUCAAUAUAAUUAUCGAGUUGGACAAAAUUAUGGAUUUGUCGGAGAAAAUGUUUGUUCAAAAGCCAUUCGUAAUCAAUUGGUUCAAGCCAUUUUUUCAUUAACUGCUGUUGUUUCUGCUUAAUUGUGAUUACAUCAUUGGCUGUAUUAAAUAUCGACUAUUGCAGUUGGCAGAAAUCAAAAUGUGAUUGCGAUCAACCAGGCACAAUGGAACCAGGAGAGACAAAUAGUGCAAUCCAAACAUUAACCAUUGAACAUUAGCAAACGGAUUUGCUAUCAACUUCUUGUUAAUUGUGGCAACAUUUGAGACAAUAAAAGGAUUGUCAUUGAAUUAACCGAGAUGAUGACGUUAGCUGACUGAUUCAAAAUGUUACCAAAAAUGAGUGAAAAAGGCUACAUAAAACCCAAAAAGGUUCACCUGCCGAUAGGCGACAGAUAGAGAGUGAAAUAUUUAUUUUUUUUGGUAUCUGUUAUUGUUUUAUUUAUUUGUCUGAAGUUCUCGUGGUUAACAGGAUAUCCGCUCUUAAUCAAGCAAUUAGCUUGCUUGAUUGAUCGAGCGAGAUAAUUUAAACUGUGUGGUUUUUAAUAACAAUAUUAAUAAUAAUAUUUGCAUCGAGGGACAAACGCAUUAUCAAAAUUCCCCGAGAUGAUUGACAAAACAAAAUAUGAACUCCUUUUUGGGAAAGUUAAUAAUAAUGAUAUAAGAUAGUUAUUAUAGCUCUAAAUCAAGGUUAAUUUGUAAACAAAUACAAUAAGAUUUGGUUUUCACACAA